GACGAACGCUGGCGGCGUGCUUAACACAUGCAAGUCGAACGGAAAGGCCCUGCUUUUGUGGGGUGCUCGAGUGGCGAACGGGUGAGUAACACGUGAGUAACCUGCCCUUGACUUUGGGAUAACUUCAGGAAACUGGGGCUAAUACCGGAUAGGAGCUCCUGCUGCAUGGUGGGGGUUGGAAAGUUUCGGCGGUUGGGGAUGGACUCGCGGCUUAUCAGCUUGUUGGUGGGGUAGUGGCUUACCAAGGCUUUGACGGGUAGCCGGCCUGAGAGGGUGACCGGCCACAUUGGGACUGAGGUACGGCCCAGGCUCCUACGGGAGGGAGCAGGGGGGAAUAUUGCACAAUGGGCGGAAGCCUGAUGCAGCAACGCCGCGUGCGGGAUGACGGCCUUCGGGUUGUAAACCGCUUUCGCCUGUGACGAAGCGUGAGUGACGGUAAUGGGUAAAGAAGCACCGGCUAACUACGU
rnacentral:rRNA from 1 species